CUACGGGUUGCUGCAGUGGGGAAUAUUGGACAAUGGGGGAAACCCUGAUCCAGCAAUGCCGCGUGUGUGAAGAAGGCCUGCGGGUUGUAAAGCACUUUCGGUUGGGAGGACUGCUUCUAGCACUAAUAUUGUUGGAAGUUGACGUUACCUUCAGAAGAAGCACCGGCUAACUCCGUGCCAGCAGCCGCGGUAAUACGGAGGGUGCAAGCGUUAAUCGGAAUUACUGGGCGUAAAGCGCGCGUAGGCGGCUAGAUCAGUCGGGGGUGAAAGCCCCGGGCUUAACCUGGGAACUGCAUCCGAUACUGUCUAGCUUGAGUACAGGAGAGGAGAGUGGAAUUCCACAUGUAGCGGUGAAAUGCGUAGAUAUGUGGAGGAACACCAAUGGCGAAGGCAGCUCUCUGGCCUGAUACUGACGCUGAGGUGCGAAAGCGUGGGGAGCAAACAGGGUUAGAUACCCUCGUAGUC
rnacentral:rRNA from 1 species